AAUAAGAUCAUUUUACAGUUUUUUGAUACAAUAUUUUGACUCUUUGUCUUAUUUGAAAUUUUUUGCAAUUAAUAUUUUUAUUCUUAAUAGAUUAUAAAAUAUGAAUAAUACCUUAUGCGUGACUAAUUUUUUUAAGUUUUUAUAUAAAUUUUUUAAAUAAGACGAGUAAAACGUUGGACACGGAAAAAC
rnacentral:pre_miRNA from 1 species